rnacentral:lncRNA from 1 species
UCAAAUUCGUGUAUAUUGCACAAUCAUCGCGCAUUGACACCUCUACAUGAAAUUUGCGUAACCCAUUUCGAAUAAAUAAAGAGAUUCGCCAUAUUGAGAAGAUAUACUCAGAUGCAAAACAUUUAAUUCUCAGCAUUCAGACACAAAAGAGAACUACUUCCAUGCAUAGCGAUGUUCAGCACAAGAUAGGUUGGUUCACAUAAGGCACUGUAAUAACCGAGACACUUGAAAUUCAUGUUCCACAAAGCAAAAUAGUAAGAUAGGCUAAAGCAAAACGUCUGGAUCCGCAGUCCCACUGUGGAUUCCACUUAAGCAACGGCCUCGAGGAAAGCCUGCCCAG